GGUUUCAUGGUGUAAUGGUUGGCACUCUGGACUCUGAAUGCAGUGAUCUGAGUUCAAAUCUUGGUGGGACCU
rnacentral:tRNA from 1 species